rnacentral:rRNA from 1 species
UACGUAGGGUGCGAGCGUUAAUCGGAAUUACUGGGCGUAAAGCGUGCGCAGGCGGUUGGCAAAGUCAGCUGUGAAAGCCCCGGGCUCAACCUGGGAAUGGCGGUUGAAACUAGUCGACUCGAAUCUGGCAGAGGGGGGUGGAAUUCCACGUGUAGCAGUGAAAUGCGUAGAGAUGUGGAGGAACACCAAUGGCGAAGGCAGCCUUCUGGGCCAACACUGACGCUCAUGCACGAAAGCGUGGGGAGCAAACAGG